rnacentral:miRNA from 1 species
CCUGCUGUAAGCUGUGUCCUC